GGAAGAUGGAUCAGCAGAGUCAUUUCCAGCAUCAAUUGCACCUUGGUGGGGUGGUUGCAGUAGGAGGAGACAUGAGGGCUGAUUCUCCAGGGCACUCCGCAAAGUUUGGCAGCUACACUCUAAUGAAUCUGGAGAGUAACACCAUUAUGGACAUCCAACUUGUUCAGAGCAAUGAAGUAGGUGGCAGCUAUCAUAUGGAGAAGGAAGGACUGAAAAGAUGCCUAGAUCAUCUGGAGUCGAAUGGAUUGAAGGUGG